rnacentral:rRNA from 1 species
UGAGGAAUAUUGGUCAAUGGGCGAGAGCCUGAACCAGCCACGUCGCGUGAAGGAAGACUGACCUUACGGUUUGUAAACUUCUUUUGUAGAGGGGUAAUGGCAGAUACGUGUAUUUGCGUGAAAGUACUCUACGAAUAAGCAUCGGCUAACUCCGUGCCAGCAGCCGCGGUAAUACGGGGGAUGCGAGCGUUAUCCGGAAUUAUUGGGUUUAAAGGGUGCGCAGGUGGCUAAUCAGGUCAGUGGUGAAAAGCUAUGGCUCAACCAUGGUCUUGCCAUUGAAACCGUAUAGCUAGAGAGGAGACGAGGUAGGCGGAAUGUGUGGUGUAGCGGUGAAAUGCUUAGAUAUCAUGACGAACUCCGAUUGCGAAGGCAGCUUACGGGAGCGCAACUGACGCUAAAGCUCGAAGGUGCGGGUAUCGAACAGG